UCCGGCCUCGGGAUAGCGGCCCGGCUCCGGGACUGCGGCUCCGGGACAGCGGCUCCAAGACCGGGACUGCGGCUCCGGCUCUGGGACCGGGACAGCGGCUCUGGCCACGGGACAGCGGCUUCGGCCCCGGGACUGCGGGUUCGGCCCCGGGAUAGCGGCCCGGCUCCGGGAUUAAGGCUAUCGGCUCCGGGACCGCGGCUUCGGGCACGAUGCAGGAGAUGAAGACAGGCACGAAUUCCCCAGCCUUACGGUCUGGGCAGGGCCCUGAUAGGCUGGCCAUGAUGUCUCUUCACAGUGUAAGAGUUGCUGCUCUCCUUGACUGGGUGAACAGCACAAAGGUUUGUCCUGAUCCCCUCAAUGAUCUGUCCCAGCUCCAGGACUGUAGUGACUUCAUCAGAAUUAACCACAAAAUCCACAGGAGCAAGGAGGGGGAGUCUGUGCUGUCACAGCUGCUGCCAGAGAGGAUCUCCUUCAUCCAUGGUUUCCUGCAGGAGGAAAUGGCACGACUGUGUUUGCUCAACCAACAUGCCAAGUGCUCCAAUUGUGUCAAUGCCACCCCUGAUGCUGCUUGAGGUGAGAAAAUUGCCACUGCAAUUCUCUGAGCCUUGUCCCAGGUAUAAACUUCAUCAUCACAAUUAGGACUGUAUUGCUCAAUGGAUCUUUUUUCCCUGCGUGUCUGCUCCCUUAAAAUUUCCAAAUCAGGUGUUAUCAAUGAGAGUUCCCCAAUGCUGCAUGGGCCACCCUUUAUUUUUGCAGGGAUAGCAGGCCAAAUUCUGUCCCCGCAGAUUAAAAACACUCCCUUUGGUAAAAUGGCUGGAUUUUGGAGGGAUGGUUUGCUCAUCAUUUUGGUGUAAUUACACCAGGAUGAUGCAUUUCUAUAAAAGAGUUGGUUUGGAGUGACAUCUAUUAUGUGGCUAUCUGUUUCUGCCACUCCCAAUGGGUUAUAUUUAAUACAGAAUUUCAUUUUUGUUGACCCAAAGAUGUCCAAUUCUGGAGGUUCAAAGUGAGCCACAGGAAGAUACUGUGUACAAACAUGCCAUCCCUCCACAGGAUCUGAAAAAGACUUCAGAAACUUUGGAGGGAUGUGUUUUGGGAUUGGCCAUUCCUCCACUGGCACACCUACCAAGCAUGUUGAGAAUGGUUUCCCCAGUUUUGAAUGGGUCAGGCAAAUGCUGUCCAGACCCACUGCUUUUGCCAGAGUCUCCCACACAUUUUCCCUUGGUUGUCUCAUGGGAAAGUCUGUCCUAUUGCCCAAGGCAAUAGGCAAGAGAAUGAAGCACAUGAACACUAUCUGUCUGAACCCCAUGUCCAUGUCCUCACCCUCUGUGAGAAACCCCACAAGGUAGCAACACUUUAAUUCCCUAGAAAAAAACCCAAGUCUCUGAGUUGCCAGUUGUUGUCUGAUGAGGCGUCUUCAGCAUCACUGUUUGCCUUCGAUUUGUCCUGACUCUGGGUUUCUGACCAAAACUAAAGGAUUCUCCCUUAGUUUUGCUUGUGUGCUGUUUGUAAAAUGUCUGACAAUAGGUGGAGUGGGCUCUGAGAAAGAACCAUUUAAAAAAUUCAACACAUACAGAGCUUUGUUCAACCGCAUAUAAGGUGUUGCACCUGCCUCCCCUCUUUUCUGUUUAUCCAAAAGGGAUUUCAGGGUGUGAUGUGUUCUUUCAGUGAUUGCUUGACCUGAGGGAGAAUGAGGAAUACCAAAAAUGUGUUUGACUCCCCAUUUUUUCAGAAAUUUGUCAAGCACCUUGCCUGUGUUAGUUUGGCCAUUAUCUGUUUUUAUUUCUUGUGGCACCCCUAAUGAUACAAAUGCUUGUAAAAAAUGUCUGCAGGCAUGUUCUGUGGUUUCCCCUGUAUGUAAUGAUGCAAAAAUUGCCCCUGGAAAUGUGUUGGCUGAAACAUGAAUGUUUUUGAGCCUCCCAAAACAUGGAUAUUUUGUGACAUCAGUUUGCCACAGCUGGAGACUUUGCAAUCCUCUCGGAUUGACUGCUCCUGUGGAUGCAGGUGGCUGCACAAGCUGGCAAUAUGGGCAAGAGCUGAUGAUUUCCUUUGCUUGGCUUUUAGAAAGGCAAAAGGAUUCUAUCAAUGCUUGUGCAUUUUGGUGGAAAAAUGCAUGGCUCAAUUUUGCUUGCUCGAAAAUGUCUGGCAGUGUCUGUGAGAUGGGCAUUGUGAGCUUGUCUGCAUGAGCAUUCCCUUCUGCUAAAAACCCUGGAAGUGAGGAAUGCGCUCUGAUGUGUGUAACAAAAUAUUUGUGCUCUCUGUUUUCUAGGAUUGUUCUCAUGCACGAUAGGUGUUUCCAAGGUGCAAUUUCUUGUAUUUUUGGUGCACUGAUUUCUAGUCCUGCUUUUUGCACCUGUGCAAUCACACAGUCACGAACUUUCUGCACUGGUGUUGCUCUGUGUAAUUUGCAAGAGCUUCCUUGACACGCUUUUCAGUUUGGUCUCCCAACUGUUCCUCCAUGAUGGAUGCGACAUGUUGUCGUGUCCCCACCUUGCUGCACGCCUCGAUCAUGUCUGCCAAGGUGGCCUGGUGUGGCAUCAUGCUGAUGAUUCGCCUGCAUUGUGGGUUGGCAUUGGAAAAAGCGAGGCUUUUGAUUAUAUGUGGCUUUGCUCCUUCAUCCAUCACUUGUUGUUCCACUGCCUGGGAAAGACGAUCCACGAACGAGGAGAAUGGCUCCGAAGGACCCUGCUUGAUCUCGGUGUAGAUGUUGUCCUGGACUCCCGCCGGGGCAAUCUGUAGAAUUGCUCUUUAUGCAGCCUCUUUGAUGUCGCUGAGCACGUUCUGCGGAAGCCUCACUGCUUGUUGAGUUGGGUCAUCUUUGGGAGGAUCACCAGCAAGCUGCACCAUAGUGAGGUUUGUGUUUGGUCCGCCUUGGUAUCUGGCUCUCAGCUCCUCCAGGGAUCUCCUCCACGCCUUCUGCCACACAAGAGCUUGGGUGUAUGUAAGAACUGAUGUUGCGAGAUAUUUAAGAUCAUAUGGUGUUAAAUCAUACAUGCCAAAAAUGCUUUUCAACAUUUGUUUGAAAUAUGGUGACGACAACCCUCUAUCUUGAAUGGCUUUGGCUGGGUCUUUGAUCGCACCACGAUCCAGGCGUUCCCACCGCGGGUUUUGGCCUGAGCAUCAUAGUUCACUGGCAUCGUUAUGUUUCCCAAGCCCUGCAAUAAACCUUUCUCCUUUUCCAAUUCUGCUGGAAUGUCCUGCCAGUGCACUUCUGUGCUCAGCGAAGCUGGAAAUUUUGUGGGUACUUGCCUGUAGAGUGGAGUCAUCUGUGGUGACUGCAGCUUUGGUGCAGCAGCACUCACCGAUACCAACGGCGUGUGUGGCAUCUGCGAAGAUGAAGGCUGGGUGCUUCUGGAUAAAAAUGGAGCAUCUGCUGUGGAGGAGAACACACGACUGCCCUGCAUUAUUUGGAAAAUUUGCAGAAGGUGAACCAACAGCUCUGGAUGCGACUCCAAGGCUGUGCUCAAGUACCGUAAAAGAAACUCGACAACCCCUUUUGAUAUUAAAAUUGACUCUCCCUGACCUGAAAAAUCGGCAGAGCUUGAUGUUGAAAUUGUCCAAGCAGGGGCACCCUCCGAAGCAGUGAUGCAUAGAGUAUCAUCCUGUUGCUGCACCUCAGCAGAAGUGUCCUGAGUCCCAUGCUGUUCUGGGGUCCACGGAGGUUCCCGCUGUCGUGCAGGUGUGGUCUUCUUCCCCCUGGAUCCCUUCUUGUAUGAAGCUGGGAAGAAGUGCUGCAAUGUUUCAGUCCCAUGACUGGGUGGCGCAGUGGCGCUGCCCCCGACCGGCUGAGGUCGGGAUUACGAAAGGCUGUGGUGUUUGCGUCCCUAUUUGUAUCUCUAAUAAAUCUUUGAGCAUUUCUUCUAA